ensembl:lncRNA LINC01725 long intergenic non-protein coding RNA 1725
AGAGCGGGAAGCUCCGCCCCUCGCGGAACCCCGGCCUGUGCGCAGUUCCCGUGCCCUAGGAGUUGGCGGCGGGGCCCAGCCGAGAAUCUUCUUCCCUUCUGGUCUGACUAGGAAAGCCAGAGGGAGAUGGUGAAGGAGACACAGAGAGAGUAAAAGAACAGACCAUGCCCAGCCUCUCCACUGCAGGAGCUUGGAAUCAGUGAAGCAGAGUUGCCAGCCAUCUAUGGAUCCUAACUAAAUUGGUCCUUGUAAUACUCGGUAUUAUUUGCCAAGAUAUUGAAAAACCUCUAAACAGUGAGAAGGUCUGCAUACACUGGGGAACUUCCGGUGACUGCUGGGAUGCUGGCAUUGGUCUUUUCUUUCCCUGGGGGCAAAAACUGACCUUGGAUUUUUUAUCUUUUGGGGGAAAAUAUCACACCUUUUACAAAUAACCAGGUUUUCUUUUCUUUCUUCUGAUUUGGGUUAUUUUGUGUUAUCAAACAGUCUUGGGCUGGCUUAAAAGUCAUUUAUCUGUCCAUUUAUAUGUUUAUAUACUUAAGUAUUUAUCUAAUCAUUCAUGUAAUAUUUCGAUGCCUCACAUGUGCUAGAUAUUGUGCAAGGUGCCUGGGAUGGUGAAUUGACUAAAGCAGAUGCUGCGUGUACUUUCACAGAACUUUAGGUCUAUCGUGUUGCAUUAAGUUGAGGAGAAAAUUAUACUAUUUAUUGUAUAGAGGGUUGUUCUUAUUUCCAUAAAAAAUGAUAAAAAUAUUUUUGCCAAAGAUAGUUGGUACAAGGAGCUUAUCUUUGUAUUCAUUAAUCUUGACGGUAAUCUACUAAUCACUUUGUUCAGUUCUUCACUGUGUGAUAGGCUUUUAGAGACAUUAGAUCAAUUCUGAAAGGUAGGAAAAAAAAGGAAAUCAUGGCAUAUUUGGAUUUUCAGAAGUUAUGUGGAAGGCUAGGAAUUAAUAUGGUAUAUUGAUUUCUCAGUAAUUUUACCUGAUUAGUAAAGAGAGUAUCAAUCAUUUUAUUGUAUAUGUUCUCUUAGAGCUGGAUAGCAAACAACAUCUUAGACCUGGAUAGGAAAGUACCACCUUUGAUCUGACUAGGAGAGUAUUAUCUUAGACUGAAUAGGACAAUUCAUAAGCAUUGAGGGAAAAUUAAGUGUUGUUAAUUAAAAUGCACACUGAUGCCUUUUAAUAUUGGACUUCCUCAAACACAUUUGAAUCUCGCAUAUCAAAUCAGAGCCAAGCAGAGGGCUCUGGUCUCGGUGGUAGCCUUAGCUUCUUAUGUGUGAGAUUUGGUGAGUACAAGUUGACUUAGGUCUGUGGUUUUACCAAAUGCAAAUUUUGUCUCGGAGUCUGAACUGUAGACAAGAGGAAGGUUCCACUGCCAAGAGAGUGGGGUGCAAAAGGAGGCCAAUUUUUGACCUCUCAUUUUAAAGCCACUCACCUCUGUUUUAUUGCUUUUUCAACACUGCGUGAAAGCAGGAAACUUUCAAAGUCCGGGUGAAGCAAGAGAAUGCUACCUUUCCAGGGACUAGGGUAGCUUUAAUUAAAAUUGGGUUUUAUUUUGGAAUGAUUUGCUUUGAAUUUGAACCAAAAAGAAGUGAAAGAGGAAGAGAGAAAAGUAGAGCAAUUGAUGGUCUCCCUAAUGGCAAAAAGAUCAAUUAAUUUACAACGAGAAAAAAA